rnacentral:rRNA from 1 species
CGCCUACGGGGGGCAGCAGUGAGGAAUAUUGGUCAAUGGGCGGGAGCCUGAACCAGCCAAGUCGCGUGAGGGAAGACGGUCCUAUGGAUUGUAAACCUCUUUAGGCGGGGAGCAAUGCCGGGCACGUGUGCCCGGAGGGAGAGUACCCGCAGAAUAGGCAUCGGCUAACUCCGUGCCAGCAGCCGCGGUAAUACGGAGGAUGCGAGCGUUAUCCGGAUUUAUUGGGUUUAAAGGGUGCGUAGGCGGAUUUUUAAGUCAGCGGUAAAAUGUCCGGGCUCAACCCCGCCGAGCCGUCGGAACUGGGG